GCACACGCAGACUCGCUGACCAUCCCUUGAGUCAGUAUACAGUUCUUUUGAAUAUUACACAUUGUCAAACAUGUGGAAAAUGUGUUCUGAGAAAAAAUACACAUAUUUCUAACCUGAAGUCACGAUUGAGUGCACCCCAGGGUCAAUGGUAUGCAGGUGUGUUAUAGAGCUUCAGGCAGCAUUUGUUAUCAUUACACGGCCAGCUUCUCAUAUUCCCUUCGCAACUAGGACCAGGAUGAACACGAAGUUGAACGCAGGUAUCUGUGUGACUGGAUUCUUUACAUCUUGUCUCCGCGUCACCUGCUGAAUAAAGCGGACAUCCUAUCUCGUGUUCACACAUACCUCACAUAUCUUAUUAAAUAAUAUCACAUCUCAUGUCCUUAUCUUCGCCCACCAGGAAAGCAGAAGACAGUAAAACAAGAAAAGAAACAUGUCAGCAUGUCAGCGACUUCCAGAACAUUCUCUGCUGCUUAUUAUUUUAUUAAUGUCUGCAUGGAGUUCAUCAGAUAAAAGAACCUGCUCUUUUUAUGACUUCAUUGGCUAUAUUGACAGCAACAUUCAAGGCAACAACAUCGCGUUUGGAGACUGCUUGUUCGAGAAAACCCUGUGUAACUACACACAGGCAUGCACA